AAAAAUCAAAGAAAAAUCACAUAAAAAAACCAAAAGAAUAAAUGAUUACAAAAAGCAAACACCAACCACAAUCAGACAGAAAGAAAUCUAGCGACAAGACACAUGUAAAACCCAUAAAGUGCCACAAUUUCCAUCCACGGCCUAGAAAUCCAAAAACAAAAACCCAACGUAUACAACCAACGGUCGAUCCUAGGUUUGCCAACAUUCUCCACCUCUACAAACUAUCUUCAUCCAUCACCAUUUCAUCACCAAACCAAACCCAAAGCCAACAUAAACUCAAAAUAAGACUAAAGCUACAUCACAACAACCAUCAAUAGUCCAAGCACCAACCCGAGAUCUACAUGGCAAUAAAGAAAAAGUUUAGCACAAGAAAAUAAAAAAAGAGAGAACUUAUCUCCCUUAGGUUUCAGAUCCAAGGUGUUUUAGAAAGAUUUAAAUCUUCAAGUUUUAUGAAAAAGUAGCCAAUAAAAAGAGGAAGAACAUACCUUGAAGCGAUGGCAAACGGAGUGGUGGAAGAGAUCUUAAAGGUUGAACAUGCGACUUUCAAACUCAGAUCCAUACGACUCUAGUGAGUUUCUGAAGGAACUAAGUAGAUCACGUAAAAGUGGAGACUUAAAAGAGCCUUUAGGCAAAAUUUAGGCCUCAAUAGCGAUUAGUUGACAAUGGUAGACUACAACAUAUGGCAACGUCAACACCGAAAUCUGGAAACCCUUGAACUUUCCUAUUGUGUUCUUUUGAUUUUAGUGAGAGAAGUAGAGAAGAAAUUCU
rnacentral:lncRNA from 1 species